rnacentral:rRNA from 13 species
AGGAGGUUGGCUUAGAAGCAGCCACCCUUUAAAGAAAGCGUAACAGCUCACUGGUCUAAACAAGGGUUCCUGCGCCGAAAAUGUAACGGGGCUCAAGCCACGAGCCGAAGCUUUGGGUGUGAUCCGCAAGGAUCACGCGGUAGCGGAGCGUUCCGUAGGCCUGUGAAGGGAUAUCCGUGAGGGGUCCUGGAGGUAUCGGAAGUGCGAAUGCUGACAUGAGUAACGACAAAGAGUGUGAAAGACACUCUCGCCGAAAUUCCAAGGGUUCCUGCGUAAAGUUAAUCUGCGCAGGGUUAGCCGGCCCCUAAGGCGAGGCCGAAAGGCGUAGUCGAUGGGAACAGGGUGAAUAUUCCCUGGCCAGCGGGUGGUGACGGAUGCCGUAUAUCGUUCGUGCUUAUUGGAUUGCUCGGGCGGUGAAGGGGUCCCAGGAAAUAGCCCCCGCGUGAGACCGUACCCGAAACCGACACAGGUGGACUGGUAGAGCAUACCAAGGCGCUUGAGAGAACUAUGCUGAAGGAACUCGGCAAAUUGCCUCCGUAACUUCGGGAGAAGGAGGCCCCGUCAUCGGGCAACCGGUGGCGGGGGGCACAG